CAAGCUGGUGUAAUUGGUAGCACGUUGUGGUCUCAUCCUCGUUCAGAGGACCCUUCGGGGGUCAAAGAUCUUGGUUCGAGUCCAGGGCUUACUUUCA